GGUUUGGAUGGAAGUUUAGGGAGGGUGAAUUCUUUAGGUGUUUGCAACUAAUUGAUCACAACCAGUUACAUAUUUCUUUGUUCCUUCUCCACUCCCACUGCUUCACUUGACCAGCCUUAA
rnacentral:Y_RNA from 1 species